rnacentral:rRNA from 1 species
CUGGCGGCGUGCCUAAUACAUGCAAGUCGAACGGUCUUUCUAUGGAAGCUUGCUUCCACUGAGAAGAUAGUGGCGAACGGGUGAGUAACACGUGGGGUAACCUGCCCAUAAGAGGGGGAUAACAUCCGGAAACGGGUGCUAAUACCGCAUAGUUUUCUUGAUCGCAUGAUUGAGAAAGGAAAGACGGCCUUUGUGCUGUCGCUUAUGGAUGGACCCGCGGCGUAUUAGUUAGUUGGUGAGGUAACGGCUCACCAAGACGAUGAUACGUAGCCGACCUGAGAGGGUGAUCGGCCACAUUGGGACUGAGACACGGCCCAAACUCCUACGGGAGGCAGCAGUAGGGAAUCUUCCGCAAUGGACGAAAGUCUGACGGAGCAACGCCGCGUGAGUGAAGAAAGGUUUUCGGAUCGUAAAACUCUGUUGUCAGAGAAGAACAAGUUGGAGAGUAACUGCUCCAGCCUUGACGGUAUCUGACCAGAAAGCCACGGCUAACUACGUGCCAGCCGCAGC